AUAGAAUCACCCCUUUUCCUGUCCUCCUAGCUGUGACUUACACUGGAAGACUAGACUUUUUAAAGUCUUUGCCUCUUUGUGUUUUACAAACAAAAAGCUGUCUCUCUUGUUUCCCAUUGUUUUUCCAGGCAAUGAGUGUUCUCACCCUGGUAAGCUAGCAUUGUCUUCUUGAGUUGAAAAACUUGAAAGAGUUAGGCUCUCCUCCCUCACAUGGCUGAACAUCCUUGGCCUUUCCCCCUCCCUCAAAAACCCUAGCUACCCCUCUUUCCCCUUUCUCCAUUGUUGGUCUCCCUAAGCUUGUAUACACUCUCUUUACACUUCUAGACAGAUCCCAAUGCCCCUCUUGGUGCUUCUGGGAUCUAAAAGUGACCAUUUGAAGAACAAGGAGCUCUCUUGAAGUCUAGUUCACUUGGAAGACUUGUCAAUUUUUUUUGGGGGGUGCAGUCUAUGAUGAUAGGCAUCUAAUUUAUUCAGCUAUGCAAGCCCAACAGAGGAAAAUAACUUGAACAACGUAACAGUGGUAUCAGAGCAUUGAAGAUCUUACAAAACAAAACAGCUAAGGUUUAGGUUCAAAGAAUGGCAGCAAGUUCCAGCAUUACAACCUUCAAAUAUUCA